rnacentral:sRNA from 1 species
CGGGCAGUAAAGGCCGCGCUCUCGGCCAC